GAAUAUUGGUCAAUGGGCGAAAGCCUGAACCAGCAACGCCGCGUGCAGGACGACGGCCCUUUGGGUUGUAAACUGCUGUAGCAGGGGAAUAACGACUCCUUGAGAGGAGUGUGAAGGUACCCUGAAAGUAAGCGCCGGCUAACUACGUGCCAGCAGCCGCGGUAAUACGUAGGGCGCAAGCGUUGUCCGGAUUCACUGGGUGUAAAGGGUGCGCAGGCGGGAUGGUAAGUCAGCGGUGAAAUCCCACAGCUCAACUGUGGAACUGCCGAUGAUACUGCUGUUCUUGAGUUCGGGAGAGGUCGAUGGAAUUCCAGGUGUAGCGGUGAAAUGCGUAGAUAUCUGGAAGAACACCGGUGGCGAAGGCGGUCGACUGGCCCGGAACUGACGCUGAGGCACGAAAGCGUGGGGAGCAAACAGG
rnacentral:rRNA from 1 species